rnacentral:rRNA from 1 species
CCUACGGGAGGCAGCAGUGAGGAAUAUUGGUCAAUGGACGCAAGUCUGAACCAUCCAUGCCGCGUGCAGGAAGACUGCUCUAUGAGUUGUAAACUUCUUUUGUACGAGGGUAAACGCAGAUACGCGUAUCUUUCUGAAAGUAUCGUACGAAUAAGGAUCGGCUAACUCCGUGCCAGCAGCCGCGGUAAUACGGAGGAUUCAAGCGUUAUCCGGAUUUAUUGGGUUUAAAGGGUGCGUAGGGGGUCGGAUAAGUUAGAGGUGAAAUCCCGAGGCUCAACUUCGGAAUUGCCUUUGAUACUGUUCGGCUAGAGAGUAGUUGCGGUAGGCGGAAUGUAUGGUGUAGCGGUGAAAUGCUUAGAGAGCAUACAGAACACCGAUUGCGAAGGCAGCUUACCAAGCUACUUCUGACGUUGAGGCACGAAAGCGUGGGGAGCAAACAGGAUUAGAUACCCUAGUAGUC